UAGGGAAUCUUCCGCAAUGGACGCAAGUCUGACGGAGCAACGCCGCGUGAGUGAAGAAGGAUUUCGGUUCGUAAAACUCUGUUGUUAGAGAAGAACAGCGCAUAGAGUAACUGUUAUGCGUGUGACGGUAUCUAACCAGAAAGCCACGGCUAACUACGUGCCAGCAGCCGCGGUAAUACGUAGGUGGCAAGCGUUGUCCGGAUUUAUUGGGCGUAAAGCGAGCGCAGGCGGUCAAUUAAGUCUGAUGUGAAAGCCCCCGGCUCAACCGGGGAGGGUCAUUGGAAACUGGUUGACUUGAGUGCAGAAGAGGAGGGUGGAAUUCCAUGUGUAGCGGUGAAAUGCGUAGAUAUAUGGAGGAACACCAGUGGCGAAGGCGACUCUCUGGUCUGUAACUGACGCUGAGGCUAGAAAGCGUGGGUAGCAAACAGG
rnacentral:rRNA from 1 species